GUGGGUCUGUCACUCCUCAACACCUUCCCCUGCUCCCUCCGGCCAGGCUGGGCAUGGCUGCUGCCAGGGCAGGGAGCUCAGUCCUCAGAGCAAGGUGCCAGGCUGCCAAGGUGCCAGGCUGGGGGACAAGGGACAAAGGUCCUGGAGGCACAGAGCAGGGUGUUUGUUAUGGGGCACAGAGCAGGGGGCUGGUUAUGGGGCACAAAGCAGGGUGUUUGUUAUGGGGCACAGAAAGGGUGUUGUGGGGCACAGAGCAGGGUGUUGUGGGGCACAGAGCAGGGUGUUUGUUAUGGGGCACAGAGCAGGGUGUUUGUUAUGGGGCACAGAGCAGGGUGUUAUGGGGCACAGAGCAGGGUGUUAUGGG
rnacentral:lncRNA from 1 species